rnacentral:rRNA from 1 species
CAAUAGCGUAUAUUAAAGUUGUUGCAGUUAAAAAAGCUCGUAGUUGGAUUUCUGGGAGGGUGCCAAUGUCCGUCGUCGUACGUGUUGCAGCGGCGCCCUUCCAUCCUUCUGUUAACGACUUUGGGCAUUCACUUGCCGGAGUCGGGCUCAGAUAUUUUACCUUGAGAAAAUUAGAGUGUUUCAGGCAGGCUAGGCCGGAAUAUAUUAGCAUGGAAUAAUAAGAUAGGACUUUGGUACUAUUUUGUUGGUUUGAGAACCAAGGUAAUGAUCAAUAGGGACAGUUGGGGGCAUUAGUAUUUAAUUGUCAGAGGUGGAAUUCUCGGAUUUGUUAAAGACUAACUUAUGCGAAAGCAUUUGCCAAGGAUGUUUUCAUUAAUCAAGAACGAAAGUUAGGGGAUCAAAGAUGAUUAGAUACCAU